rnacentral:rRNA from 1 species
UACGUAGGGACCGAGCGUUGUCCGGAAUCAUUGGGCGUAAAGAGCGUGUAGGCGGCCACUUAAGUCCUGCGUGAAAUCUUGCGGCUCAACCGCAAGCGGUCGUGGGAAACUGGGUGGCUAGAGUGCGGGAGAGGAGAGUGGAAUUCCUGGUGUAGCAGUGAAAUGCGUAGAUAUCAGGAGGAAUACCGAUGGCGAAGGCAGGUCUCUGGGCUGACACUGACGCUCAUGCACGAAAGCGUGGGGAGCAAACAGG